rnacentral:lncRNA from 1 species
AAAAAAAUGGAGAGAUUGUUGCCUAGUUUUGGUAGACUUUAUAACCCAAAACAGAGAUUGAAAUGGAGCAGUUCAUUGUCACUGUUUAGUAUAUUUUCUCUCUUUUCAUUUUCUUUUUUCAGCUUGAUUUUCAUAGGAAUGUGUAUUUGGGAAGAUAACUAGAGAAAAAUCUGAGUCUAUCUGCUGGAAACAGAUGCUGGUGUUCUCUUAGCCUGGGGAAAAGAUGAAUCCUUCCAGCCCACACCAAAAGAUGUGGUCCAAGUCAGGAUCCAAGAGAGUCAACAAGAUGUCAAGUCAAGCCAAAUUCACAGUGCCACAGAAUCCAAUCAGGAGGUAAGGAUUGAUAAAAGCUGGGAGACUGAAAUAAAGAAUCAGAGAAUGUGCCAAGAAGGGGAACAACUGCAAGAUGAUGGUUGUGUCCAUAUGAUUCUCCUUUCUGAGGGUCAGAUCCCUUACCUCUGCGCUAGGAUGAUAAAAGAUUCAGGAUGAGGAUACAAGCUUAAGUGAGUGGAAAAGGGAUAUGAGGAGCCAAGCAGAAGUACUCUGAAAGUGUAGAAAAGGGACAAGAAAUAAAGGAAUAAGCAAGAUGAUAUGGAAUGCA